CCUACGGGGGGCUGCAGUGGGGAAUAUUGGACAAUGGGCGAAAGCCUGAUCCAGCCAUGCCGCGUGUGUGAAGAAGGCCUUCGGGUUGUAAAGCACUUUCAGUGGGGAAGAAAGCCUUGGGGCUAAUACCCUCGAGGAAGGACAUCACCCACAGAAGAAGCACCGGCUAACUCCGUGCCAGCAGCCGCGGUAAUACGGAGGGUGCGAGCGUUAAUCGGAAUUACUGGGCGUAAAGCGCGCGUAGGCGGUCUGAUAAGCCGGUUGUGAAAGCCCCGGGCUCAACCUGGGAACGGCAUCCGGAACUGUCAGGCUAGAGUGCAGGAGAGGAAGGUAGAAUUCCCGGUGUAGCGGUGAAAUGCGUAGAGAUCGGGAGGAAUACCAGUGGCGAAGGCGGUCUUCUGGACUGACACUGACGCUGAGGUGCGAAAGCGUGGGUAGCAAACAGGAUUAGAUACCCUAGUCGUC
rnacentral:rRNA from 1 species